rnacentral:rRNA from 1 species
CCUGAGAAACCCAAAAGAUCGAAUGGGGAGACUCAACGAUUGCGAUUCCGGCGCUCGUGCGGUUCGCGAUGCUUCUUCGGGAUUUCGGUCUCGGGGAGCACUCGUCCGUAUGUUCUUUCGCCGGUGAUCGCCGUCGCGCACUUCUCCCCUAGUAGGACGUCGCGACCCGUUGGGUGUCGGUCUACGGCCCGGGUGGGCGCCUGUCGUUUGUCACGCUUCGCGGCGUCAUGCGGCAGACCCCCGGUCGCCCGACCAGCUGCCCGGCGGUACUCGCACGGUAUCGGGCCGCAAACAUUUGAACUGCGUCAGGCCCGUCGCAAGCUUGGCCAGUGUUUUUCCCGGAUGUACGGACCCAGUCCCGUCACCGGGCCUGGCCGGCUGUUGGCUGACGGUGUCCUAGGACAGGCUCCUCGAUUAUGAUACCGGUCGGCGACGCUACUGCUUUGGGUACUUUCAGG